rnacentral:rRNA from 1 species
UACGUAGGGGGCAAGCGUUGUCCGGAAUCAUUGGGCGUAAAGAGCGUGUAGGCGGCUCGAUAAGUCUGCUGUGAAAGUCCAGGGCUCAACCCUGGAGGGCCGGUGGAAACUGUCGGGCUAGAGUCCGGAAGAGGCGAGUGGAAUUCCCGGUGUAGCGGUGAAAUGCGUAGAUAUUGGGAGGAACACCGGUGGCGAAGGCGGCCCUCUGGACCGGUACUGACGCUGAAUGCGCGAAAGCGUGGGGAGCAAACGGG